GAUGAACGCUAGCGGGAGGCCUAACACAUGCAAGCCGAGCGGUAUUGUUUCUUCGGAAAUGAGAGAGCGGCGUACGGGUGCGGAACACGUGUGCAACCUGCCUUUAUCUGGGGGAUAGCCUUUCGAAAGGAAGAUUAAUACUCCAUAAUAUAUUAAUUGACAUCAAUUGAUAUUGAAAGCUCCGGCGGAUAGAGAUGGGCACGCGCAAGAUUAGCUAGUUGGUGAGGUAACGGCUCACCAAGGCGAUGAUCUUUAGGGGACCUGAGAGGGUGAUCACCCACACUGGUACUGAAACACGGACCAGACUCCCACGGGAGGCAGCAGUGAGGAAUAUUGGUCAAUGGGUGCAAGCCUGAACCAGCCAUCCCGCGUGAAGGAUUAAGGUCCUAUGGAUUGUAAACUUCUUUUGUAUAGGGAUAAACCUACCCUCGUGAGGGUAGCUGAAGGUACUAUACGAGUAAGCACCGGCUAACUCCGUGCCAGCAGCCGCGGUAAUAC
rnacentral:rRNA from 1 species